rnacentral:rRNA from 1 species
AGUCGAGGGGUAGAGGGUGCUUGCACCCUUGAGACCGGCGCACGGGUGCGUAACGCGUAUGCAACCUACCUAUUGCAGGGGAAUAGCCCAGGGAAACUUGGAUUAAUGCCCCAUAGUCCAUAUUGAGAGCAUUCGAUAUAUGGUAAAGAUUUAUCGGCAAUAGAUGGGCAUGCGUCCCAUUAGCUAGUUGGUAUGGUAACGGCAUACCAAGGCUACGAUGGGUAGGGGCCCUGAGAGGGGGAUCCCCCACACUGGUACUGAGACACGGACCAGACUCCUACGGGAGGCAGCAGUGAGGAAUAUUGGACAAUGGGCGGGAGCCUGAUCCAGCCAUGCCGCGUGCAGGAAGACUGCCCUAUGGGUUGUAAACUGCUUUUUUACGGGAAGAAACACCCCCACGUGUGGGGGCUUGACGGUACCGUACGAAUAAGGACCGGCUAACUCCGUGCCAGCAGCCGCGGUAAUACGGAGGGUCCGAGCGUUAUCCGGAAUCAUUGGGUUUAAAGGGUCCGUAGGCGGGCGUCUAAGUCAGUGGUGAAAUCCCGCGGCUCAACCGUGGAAUUGCCAUUGAUACUGGUCGCCUUGAAUUAGUGUGAAGUGGCUAGAAUAUGUAGUGUAGCGGUGAAAUGCUUAGAUAUUACAUAGAAUACCGAUUGCGAAGGCAGGUCACUAACACUAUAUUGACGCUGAUGGACGAAAGCGUGGGGAGCGAACAGGAUUAGAUACCCUGGUAGUCCACGCCGUAAACGAUGGAUACUAGCUGUCCGGCCUGCAUUGGUAGGCUGGGUGGCCAAGCGAAAGUGAUAAGUAUCCCACCUGGGGAGUACGUUCGCAAGAAUGAAACUCAAAGGAAUUGACGGGGGCCCGCACAAGCGGUGGAGCAUGUGGUUUAAUUCGAUGAUACGCGAGGAACCUUACCAGGGCUUAAAUGUAGUCUGACAGGGGUGGAAACACCCCCUUCUUCGGACAGACUGCAAGGUGCUGCAUGGUUGUCGUCAGCUCGUGCCGUGAGGUGUCAGGUUAAGUCCUAUAACGAGCGCAACCCCUGUCGUUAGUUGCCAGCAUGUAAAGAUGGGAACUCUAACGAGACUGCCGGUGCAAACCGUGAGGAAGGUGGGGAUGACGUCAAAUCAUCACGGCCCUUACGUCCUGGGCCACACACGUGCUACAAUGGCAGGUACAAUGGGCAGCCACGCCGCAAGGCGGAGCGAAUCCACAAAACCUGUCUCAGUUCGGAUCGGGGUCUGCAACUCGACCCCGUGAAGCUGGAAUCGCUAGUAAUCGGAUAUCAGCCAUGAUCCGGUGAAUACGUUCCCGGGCCUUGUACACACCGCCCGUCAAGCCAGGAAGCUG